rnacentral:rRNA from 1 species
AUAUCAAUAAGCGGAGGAAAAGAAACCAACAGGGAUUACCCUAGUAACGGCGAGUGAAGCGGUAACAGCUCAAAUUUGAAAUCUGACCUUCACGGGUUCGAGUUGUAAUUUGUAGAGUACGUUUCGGAUAAGGCUUUGGUUUAAGUUUCUUGGAACAGAACGUCAUAGAGGGUGAGAGUCCCGUCUAGAACCGAUAGCCGCGUCCAUGUGAAACACCUUCGACGAGUCGAGUUGUUUGGGAAUGCAGCUCAAAAUGGGUGGUAAAUUUCAUCUAAAGCUAAAUAUUGGCCAGAGACCGAUAGCGCACAAGUAGAGUGAUCGAAAGAUGAAAAGCACUUUGAAAAGAGAGUUAAACAGUAUGUGAAAUUGUUGAAAGGGAAGCGCUUGCAACCAGACUUGUGUUUAAUGGUUCUCUCAAUCUUUUGAUUGGGCUAUUCCAUUAUAUCCAGGCCAGCAUCGGUUCAGGUGGUUGGUUAAAGACUUUAGGAAUGUAUCUACCUUCGGGUCGACUUAUAGCUUAGAGUGUAAUGUGACCUACUUGGACCGAGGAACGCGCAUUUUUGCUCGGAUGCUGGCGUAAUGGUUGUAAGCGG